rnacentral:rRNA from 1 species
UAGUCCACACCGUAAACGAUGGAUACUAGGCGUUUGAGGUGUUAACCCCUUGAGUGCCAAAGUUCACACAUUAAGUAUCCCGCCUGGGGAGUACGGUCGCAAGGCUAAAACUCAAAGGAAUUGACGGGGGCCCGCACAAGCGGUGGAGUAUGUGGUUUAAUUCGAAGCAACGCGCAGAACCUUACCUGGCCUUGACAUCGUGGGACAACCUCAGAGAUGAGGCUUUCUCUUCGGAGACUCACAGACAGAUGCUGCAUGGCUGUCGUCAGCUCGUGUUGUGAAAUGUUCGGUUAAGUCCGGCAACGAGCGCAACCCCUGUCCUUAGUUACCAUCAUUAAGUUGGGGACUCUAGGGAGACUGCCGGUGUCAAACCGGAGGAAGGCGGGGAUGACGUCAAGUCCUCAUGGCUCUUACGGCCAGGGCUACACACGUACUACAAUGGUAGAAACAAGCGGUCGACAAAUCGCGAGAUCAAGCUAAUACCGUAAAACACUAUCUCAGUCCGGAUUGGAGU